AGAGAGAGAGAGAGUCGACUGGCAUACUAUCAAUAUCUCCAAGUAUUUGGUUUUACCAAGUUUUCUGCCAUUAGAUUUAAUUCUUUAACUAUUUUCACCAGCCAGAUUAUACUAUUCAACCAAUAAUUUACUCAACCCUAGGGGGCCCACAUCAUUCUAACCGUACAUUUCUUAAUGCAAGAACUGAAAAUCUAAUAGCACUAACAACUUUGCGUUAUUAAUAGCAUUCCAACCUAGUUAUAU
rnacentral:lncRNA from 1 species